rnacentral:rRNA from 1 species
UACGAAGGGGGCUAGCGUUGCUCGGAAUCACUGGGCGUAAGGCGCACGUAGGCGGCUUUUUAAGUCAGAGGUGAAAUCCUGGAGCUCAACUCCAGAACUGCCUUUGAUACUGGAGAGCUUGAGUCCGGGAGAGGUGAGUGGAACUGCGAGUGUAGAGGUGAAAUUCGUAGAUAUUCGCAAGAACACCAGUGGCGAAGGCGGCUCACUGGCCCGGUACUGACGCUGAGGUGCGAAAGCGUGGGGAGCAACAGGG